rnacentral:rRNA from 1 species
AGCGAACGCUGGCGGCAGGCUUAACACAUGCAAGUCGAGCGGGCAUCCUUGUGGUGUCAGCGGCAGACGGGUGAGUAACGCGUGGGAACGUGCCCUUCGGUUCGUAAUAACUCAGGGAAACUUGAGCUAAUACCGGAUACGUGCGAGAGCAGAAAGGUUUAUCUGCCGAAGGAUCGGCCCGCGUCUGAUUAGCUAGUUGGUGAGGUUACGGCUCACCAAGGCGACGAUCAGUAGCUGGUCUGAGAGGAUGAUCAGCCACACUGGGACUGAGACACGGCCCAGACUCCUACGGGAGGAAGCAGUGGGGAAUAUUGGACAAUGGGGGCAACCCUGAUCCAGCCAUGCCGCGUGAGUGAUGACGGCCUUAGGGUUGUAAAGCUCUUUUCUCCGGGACGAUAAUGACGGUACCGGAGGAAUAAGCCCCGGCUAACUUCGUG